rnacentral:rRNA from 1 species
AUUGAACGCUGGCGGCAUGCUUUACACAUGCAAGUCGAACGGCAGCACAGUAAUAGCUUUCUCGUCCAGUGGGCGACGGGCGGGUGAGUCAUGAAUACAUGCGCAUCUACUUUGGCGAGGGCGAUGACGGCGGGAUACAUACCCUAAUAGCGCAGACGACGUACGGGGGAGAGCAGGAGAUCUUGCGCCCUUGGACGAUUCAAUGAGCGGUUGUCGGAUUAGCUAGUUGGCGGGGUAAAGGCCCACCAAGGCGACGAUCCGUAGCUGGUCUGAGAGGAUGAUCAGCCACACUGGAACUGAGACACGGUCCAGACUCCUACGGGAGGCAGCAGUGGGGAAUAUUGGACAAUGGGCGCAAGCCUGAUCCAGCCAUGCCGCGUGCGGGAAGAAGGCCUUCGGGUUGUAAAGCCCUUUUGUUGGGAAAGAAAAGCAGCAGGUUAAUACCCCGCUGUUAUGACGGUACCCAAAGAAUAAGCACCGGCUAACUACGUG